rnacentral:tRNA from 1 species
GGGCAUGUGACUCAGUGACAGAGUGCUUGCCUUGCAAGUAUGAGGUACUGGGUUCGAUCCUCAGCACCA